CCAGGAUUUCAAAAGUGGCCGUCCAAAAUAAUUUUGUGGGCGUGGCAACAUAUUUUUGUGGGCGUGGUCACAUGUUUUUGGGUGUGGCCACAAUUUUCUGUUGUUGAGGAAUUGUGGUGUUUUAUUCGUUGAACCACAGUUAAUAGACCUAGAGGUUGAACCUUUCUACUUUUAGUUUUAGAUGCACAUUUCCGUCAUUAAAUUAGUAAAAGCACACGUAUGGUAUGAUCACUACCGUAACUGUAACGUGGCGCUCGAG